UUUUUCUUUUUACCUUUUUUCAUUCAUUUCCGAUCCAUUAUUCUCUGUAUUUUUGUGUGUUCUUUUUAGUUUUCUGGUUAGAGCUGGUGAUGGAUUCAAUUGCUAAUGUUAAUUGGUGUGAUUUGGACUUGUUUAUGGGAAUGAAUCUGAAUAGAUGUAUUUGUUAUGGUGUGUAGGUUAUAUUUUUUUAUUAACUUUGCAAGGUGGUGGUGUUUUGUUCCUAAUUUUGAUGUCAUCUCUUGCAUUUGUCUUAAAGUUUAUUCUUCAAUUGUAAGAUCUUUCACCUUUUGGGGGUGUGUAGUAAGUGCAGGCAUCGAGGGCAAGGCUGGCUGUACAAGGAGUACAAAGAAAUGCAGCAAGAAAAAGACUGUUGAUCCUGAUAUUAAAGCAGUCUUUGUUGAUUCUAACAUUUUUAAAUGGAAAGGGUCUUAUCAAGUUGGGGUCCCUCUGAAACUCUUUACGAGGGGUGCGAGUUCCAGUUUACUUUCUCUAUUCUGGAGCAGUAUCCUCUACAGCCACCUCGAGUCCUGUUUUUGACUAAAAUAUUCACCUAAUGUUCACUUUAAGACGAUGCCAAAACCAGUCAAUAAGACAAGGCCAGAGUUGCAGCGAGCGUUAGCUGAGUUUGAUGCUGGGGUCCGUUUCUCACUGAACCGAAGCUGGAUCAAAAUAUGGACAAAUGUGAUCAUCUAACUCAUACUCCAUCACCAUCAAACGGUACUUAAUAUUAUAGAAAAUUUGUGCAGUGUCCAUCACUGGAUUAAAAUAUCUCUAUCCGUUGUAUAAGUAUGUUUCAUCCUUUAACUAUAGUAACAAUUUAAUAAUUAACAGAAAAGAACUGUACUGGCAUGAGACAAAAGGCUUUUAUUUUACUUCUUGUUUUAAACUUAUAAUAAUUAUUCUCAUAGAUAUGGGUAUUCCA